CACGUGGCUCUUGCCUGGUUGACAGUCCCCAUCAAGCUGGUGAGGUGGUCUUGUCUUUUUUCCCCAACCUGUUGUAAUUUGACUCUUAGGAAUUGUGCCGUGAGCGCUGAGAUUUGUAGACAUCCCAUUGUAGGGGUCUUGGUUGCGUAUCACUGUGCCCAUGGCUCUUAGGGUGACACACACCCAACUCCCAAAUUCUGUCCCGAAUGAGAGGUGGGGUCCAGAGGCACUUAAAAGUCCAGGGAGUCUGAGGGACAGGGAUGCUGACAGUGGGCACUGGUGGUUUGUCUGUUCUACUGUUUCAGGGGGAUGAGCCCACCAUGUGGAAUUCAGAUGGGCCUUCUGGCUACCCCAGGGGCCUCCAGCUCAGCUUCCUGGGUGUGUCAGAGAGGCGUGCCAGGAGCCAGAGCUGAGGAAUGAGGCUGGGCUUACUGCCACCCAGGAGGAGUCCCUCUGGAGAGCCUCAGAAAGUACCUGCAAUGGCAAUACAACAGAAGAGCCUCUAAAUAUCUCCUUUUGGGGAUACGGCAGGAAAGCCAAAGGAAAUGUGAAGAGAUGUCUGAACGCCCAGAGGAAACCAGUGGGCCCUUCCAGGAGUUCUAUUUGCGGUAAGAAACCUUGGCAUGGGGCAGCCAGCUCUCCUGCAAAAAUAGACCAAUGUGCUGAGAAGCAGCUCAAUUCUGGGAGCAAUUCCCCUCCAUGGGGAAGAGAGCUUGCACUGGGACUUAGAAGGAUCUGCCCCCUCUCUUCUUCUUGCCCCUGGACUCCAGAACCAAAAACGGGGAGAAAAAAAGGUAAACAUUUUUUUAAAAAAGAACUCUUGGCCAGGUGGAGUGGCUCACACCUGUAGUCCCAACACUUUGGGAGGCUGAGGCAGGAGGAUCACUUGAGGCUAGGAGUUUGGGACCAGCCUGGACAACAUGGCAAGACCCUGUCUAUCAAAAAAAUACAAAAAUUAUCUGGGUGUGGUGGCACAUGCCUGUAGUCUCAGCUACUUGGGAGACUAAGGCAGGAAGAUUGCUUGAGCCUGGGAGGUCGAGGCUGCAGUGAGCUAUGAUCAAGACAGUGUACUCCAGCCUGAGUGACAGAGUGAGAACCCCAUCUCUUAAGAAAACAAAAAACCAGAACUUAUGAAUGUAUCCAUGACUUAAAUCAAAAAUGGGCCAGUGGAAACACAGGGCAAAGGAAGGUUUCAAAUAAGCACCUGGACACAAACGGACCCAGGAGGUGACACACAGUAUUGAGGACCCACUCCCCAUCACUAGGUCCUUUGGCCUCAAAUGAGUGAGAUGACUAAGAAAAUAGGGCACCAUGUGCGGCAGAAGUGAGGGUGGCUAGACAGAAAAUGACGGCCUUGACUGUGAUGGUCAUCACAGACAGGACCCCUAAGAAAGGUGGCCAAGGGGGUCUGGGGACCCAUCUUUAGAAUACCGGGCUGACAGCAUAACAGGGGUUUGGGACACCACCAUGAAAGAAGACAAUGAAGCCAGGUGCAGUGGCUCACGCCUAUAAUCCCAGCACUUUGGGAAGCCAAGGCAGGAAGAUUGCUUGAGCCCAGGAGUUUGAGACCAGCCCGAGCAACGUAGCAAGACCCCCAUCUCUACUAAAAAUUUAAAAAUUAGCGAAGCAUGGCUGGGCACGGUGGCUCACGCCUGUAAUCCCAAUACUUUGGGAAGCCAAGGCGGGUGGAUUACGAGGUCAGGAAUUCAAGACCAGCCUGACCAACAGGGUGAAACCCUGUCUCUACUAAAAAUACAAAAAUUAGCCGGGUGUGGUGGCAGGCUCCUGUAACCCCAGCUACUCAGUAGGCUGAGGCAGGAAAAUCGCUUGAACUCAGGAGGUUCAGUAAGCCAAGAUCAUGCCAUUGCACUCCAGCCUGGGUGACGGAGUGAGACUCCAUCUCAAAAAAAAAAAAAUUAGCCAAGCACAGUGGCAUGUGUCUGUAGUACCAGCUACUUGGGAGGCUGAGUGAAGAGGGAGGAUUGCUUGAGGCCAGGAGUUGGAGACCAGACUGGGCAACAUAGCGAGACCUCAGCUUGGAAGUAAGGAAGGAAAGAAGGGAGGGAAGGAGGGAUGAAGGUAGAAAGAAACGGGACAAGAUGGACUCCUGAGGCCAUCCUAAUUCUGGAACACAAUACAAUGGCCUCUGUAUGUUAGGAGGGCUCAUUUGGCUUCUCUCUAAGCCAGCAGUCCACAUCUUUUUGGCACCAAGGACCAGUUUUGUAGAAGACAAUUUUCCACGGAUGGGGGCGGGGGGUGGGGGUGGGAGGGGAUGGUUUCGGGAUGAAACUGUUCCACCUCAGAUCAUCAGACGUUAGAUUCUCGUAAGAGGUGCCCAACCUACAUCCCUUGCACGUGCAGUCCACAAUAGGGUUUGUGCUUCUAUGGGAAUAUAAUGCCACACUGAUCUGACAGGAGUCAGGGCUCAGGUAGUAAUGCUCACUCACCUGCCGCACACCUCCUGCUGUGCGGCCGGUUCCCAAUAGGCCAUGGAAUGCUUAUUGGUCCACAGCCCUGGAGUUGGGCACCCCUCUUCUAAGGCAGAAGCUUCUACUGUCUUAGGAGCAGCGUCCUGGCCUCCACAGCAGGGAGAGAGCAGGAAUACCCAGCCACAGAUACUGGUCAAGAUAUUGAUCAACUUCCUACCAUCAUGGUGGAGGCAAGCCUGGAGGCCUCUGGGUGGUCAUCAGGUCACCCCAGCACAUUUUCCUGCCCCGGACUCCUGGCCACGCUGAGGUUGCUGUGAGCAGACACGAUGUGCAGGGUCAUGGAUGUGCAGCUCAAACUCCUUGACAAGCGGGAGAUUUAUUUUAUGGCCCAAGCAGUUUGGAGACAAAAUCGUAAGGUGCUCACCCAUCCAGUGUCUCUUCAGCCGGCACUGGGAGGUGUCAAACUGACCACAUUCGACUGCCCCUUCCGCCCGCAGAAUAUGGGUCUGCGUUUCUCUUUCCCUCUUGGUGGCCAAGAACUGUCAACAUCCAGCUGUGGCUCUGCACUCAGCCGCCGCUCAGCCUGCUCAGGUUGAAAGGUCAAACGUUGUCUGGAAUUGGCAGCCCAGCUUACUAGCAGCUCUUCUGUCUUCAGAGUGCAGUGAGGGGAGCUGUCAGAGGGCUGAGGCAAGGACCAGAGAGGGAACUCCUGCGACAGAGAAAGCUCAGCCCUGGUUAUGUUCUGGAGGGAGCAUAGCAGGGUCUGUCCCAGGAACUUUAUUAGUUAGCGGUUAAGAUCCUCAUCCACAGAAAAGCCGGUAGGAAUUAGCCAGGUGGUGUGUGCCUAUGGUCCCAGCUACCCAGGAGGGUGAGGAGGGAGGACUGCUUGAGCCCAGGAGGUUGAGGCUGCGGCUAGCUAUGAUUGUGUCACUGCGCUCCAGCCUGGGUGACAAAGCAAGAUCCUGACUCAAAAAAAAAAAAAAAAAAAAAAGGAAGAAAGAAGAAAGAGAGAGAAGAAAGAAAGGAGAGAAAGAGAAGGAAGGAAGGAGAAAGGAAAGAAGGAAGGAAGAAAAGGAAGAAAGAAUGACAAAGAAAAGAAAGAAAGACGAAAAGGAAAGGAAAAGAAAAGAAAAAAGAAACAAAAGCAGGAAAGUGAGGGGAGAGGGCCAGGAAGACAGAAGACAGGAUGGGCAAGAAGGGUGGGAAGGAUUCCCACACCAGAUUCAGGAGUGGCUCUGCAUUGGGAAAUCCAUCUACGACUGCUGGGGACUUGGUUUUGCAAACAUGCACAGAGAAACCUUCAUCCACCUCUGUGCAAUGUUGGACUGAAGUAGAAAUGAGCCGCUGUUUUCUGGAAGCACCCCAUUUCUUUGAGCUGAUCUUCUCUAAUAAUGAAUUCUGGUGAAGCCUGCCAUUCACAGCACCCUGCCCUCCCAUCUGUAGGAGGUGGGAACAGGACCCAGGCCAGUUGAUCAGAGAGCUCCCUUGCCCUGGGAUGAGCAUGUGACCCAGAUGUCUCAAUCAUGGGGAAGAUCCUCUUGCCUGUUAUAGCCACUAUGCUGGAAGAACAGGAUGUGGGCUUGCUGGCCGCCAUCUUCCAGUCCACGCUGGGAACCCAUCUGCAGGAGGAGGGAAGGAGGACAACCCAGUUUGAGGGAGCAUAUGGACAGCAGCUAUAGAAGGCUCCAUAUGUGCCCAGUGCUAGAUCCACCCCAUCCCUUCCUGUUCCAUAAAUCCAUACAUCUUCUCUCACUUUUGCUUACCCUAGUUUGAGUUACAUUUCUGACACCUGCCACCAUAAAAGCCCAAAUGAUUACAGAGAAUAUUUGGCUACAGGAAAGACCCUGCAGUCUGUGAAAAAAGAGGCUGCUGGUGCAUAGUCAUCGUAGACCAGUGCAAAGAGUGAAACAGAAACAUCCAGCUUAAUCUGCAAAAGCCUUUUUGGAUCCUUGAGAGGCGCUCAUUAACUUACAGCAAAUUGGUGAGCUGAUACUCUUCUUUCAUCCAGAUCUCUCUCUAGAAGCAUUGGAAGAGGCCGUCUCAAAAAAGAAAAAUAAAAUAGAAGCAUUGGAGGAAAGAUGUGGUUUGUAGUGAAACAAAUUGGAAGUCAAGCUCAGCCUCAACCACUUACUUGCUUCUGACCUUGGGUAAGUCCUAUGUACCUAGGAACCUCGGUUUUCUUUUCUUUCUUUUCUUUUCCUUUUUUUUUUUUUCUUUGAGAUGGAGUCUUGCUCUGUCGCCCAGUCUGGAGUGCAGUGGUGCAAUCUCGGCUCACUGCAACCUCUGCCUCCUGGAUUCAAGUGAUUCUCGUGCCUCAGCCUCUAGAGUAGCUGGGACUACAGGCAUGCACUACCAGGCCCAGCUAAAUUUUGUGUUUUUAGUAGAAACAGGG
rnacentral:lncRNA from 1 species